AUGCCUAGCUGGAUAUACUGGUAAUGGAUUUGACUGCGUUGAUAUCGACGAAUGUACAUCGGGCACCCACGUCUGUCAUGUCAACGCCGAGUGUGUGAACAACAUAGGAAGUUAUACGUGUGUAUGCCUAGCUGGAUAUACUGGUAAUGGAUUUGACUGCGUUGAUAUCGACGAAUGUACAUCGGGCACCCACGUCUGUCAUGUCAACGCCGAGUGUGUGAACAACAUAGGAAGUUAUACGUGU